GACGAACGCUGGCGGCGUGCCUAAUACAUGCAAGUAGGACGCAGUUGCGAACGGGUGAGUAACGCGUAGGUAACUACCUAUUAGAGGGGGAGAACUCUUGGAAACGAUAGCUAAUACCGCAUACUAGUAGAUGGACCUGCGUUGUAUUAGCUAGUAGGUAGGGUAAUGGCCUACAUAGUCAACGAUACAUAGCCGACAUGAGAGGGUGAUCUGACACACUGGGACUGAGACAAGGCCCAGACUCCUCAUGGAGGCAGCAGUAGGGAAUCUUCGGCAAUGGGGGGAAAAAUGAACGAGCAACGCUGCGUGAGGGAUGAAGGUUAUCGGAUCGUAAAGCUCGGUGGUUAAGGAAGCGGUACUUAACCAGAAAGGGACGGCUAACGACGUGCCAGCAGCCGCGGUAAUAC
rnacentral:rRNA from 1 species